CCCAAGUACCCAAUCCUAAAAAAUCAAUUCUUUUACCAUUCCAUCUUCUUUGUGCAAGGUCAUUGGCCACCCAACGCUGCUGCUCUUAUUCAAAACCGUCGUCGUCACCUGAUCAUCUACUCGCUAAAGUUCGUGACCGUAGUUGGUCGCCGAUUGAGGCCACCUCCUUCUCCCAUCUGUGUACAACAAGGUAACACCCAAAAUCUGGAAAAAUAAAUCUACAAGUUCAUUUUUACGAGUCCGAACUCCGAACAGGAUUUGGUGUUCUUCCAUCCUACAAAACACGCAAAGCAAAUCUAAUAUUUUCCACUGGGUAGAGAUUCUCUAGCAACUGUUGAGUGAAAACCUCUAAUGUAAUCCAAUCUAAUUAUUGUAUCUUUGUUGUGGUUCAUUGCCUCAGCAGAAGCAGAAUUGGCAGAAGCAAAAUCUCAAUCAAAUGACAGUAGCAGAAUCUCAAUGAGAGGCACCAUCUCGAGUUAGUGUUACAUUCUGCCCACACAUCAUUUGAAGUGGCGGCAUUAGCCAAUUCAAACUUCCUUGGAUGGAGUCAAAGGGAAUGUGAAGGCAUGUAGUGGCGCAACUAUUCAUGUCCGUGAAGCAAUGCUGAAGCACUUAGAUGAAACUGCAAAGAAGACUAAGACUAUUGCAACGCCGAAGAGAUCUUUCAGUGAUCUUGCUAUAGAGGAUGCUAGCUCAGAACAGAAUAGUUCACGAAGCAUGAAUUAGUUUCUCCCGUUCCUAUCCCUAAUCCUUAUCCUAUACCGGGAAGUUCAAUGACUCAAAUCUAAAUCUGUCUUCUUCGGCAC
rnacentral:lncRNA from 1 species